UACAGAGGUCUCAAGCGUUGUUCGGAUUCAUUGGGCGUAAAGGGUGCGUAGGCGGCGGGGCAAGUCAGGUGUGAAAUCCCAGGGCUCAACCCUGGAACUGCACUUGAUACUGCCUCGCUAGAGUACUGGAGAGGAGACUGGAAUUUACGGUGUAGCAGUGAAAUGCGUAGAGAUCGUAAGGAAGACCAGUGGCGAAGGCGAGUCUCUGGACAGUUACUGACGCUGAGGCACGAAGGCCAGGGGAGCAAACGGG
rnacentral:rRNA from 1 species